rnacentral:rRNA from 1 species
GUGAGGAAUAUUGGACAAUGGGCGCAAGCCUGAUCCAGCCAUGCCGCGUGCAGGAAGACGCAUCUAUGGUGUGUAAACUGCUUUUGUACGGGAAGAAACACUCCCUCGUGAGGGAGCUUGACGGUACCGUAAGAAUAUGGAUCGGCUAACUCCGUGUCAGCAGCCGCGGUAAUACGGAGGAUCCAAGCGUUAUCCGGAAUCAUUGGGUUUAAAGGGUCCGUAGGCGGUUUAAUAAGUCAGUGGUGAAAGCCCAUCGCUCAACGAUGGAACGGCCAUUGAUACUGUUAGACUUGAAUUACAAGGAAGUAACUAGAAUAUGUAGUGUAGCGGUGAAAUGCUUAGAUAUUACAUGGAAUACCAAUUGCGAAGGCAGGUUACUACUUGUGGAUUGACGCUGAUGGACGAAAGCGUGGGGAGCGAACAGGAUUAGAAACCCGUGUAGUCC